AGCAGCAUAAGCCACCUUACCUAGACUUAUACACUAUUUUUAUUCCUGAAGGAAAUUUGACUUAUCCAAUGAAAUGAAGUAAAGUUAACAUUUACCAUGUACUGCUUAGAGACAACUCUGAAAAGCCCGUCACUGCUGAUAUCUAACAUGGUGAGUCCCAGUUGAGUUCCUGAUGUCUCUUACUGACACUUCCUUGGGAGUGACUGAUCAUUCCCCAUGUCCAGGGCUUUCGCUACUUGAGUAACUACAUUUUUCAAGAAGUAUACAUGGACUUAAUUAUCUGUGCCUGAGUACCACCCAGCAGCCAGA